UCUCAUUUUCAGGAUGAAGAGAGAGAAAUACUGCUGCAACCAAUAGAAAAGAAGUAGGCAGAAGAUGCACGCCUAUAUACCUCUUCUAUUAUGAAAAUAUGUCUCAAUGUGAAGAAGAAGGAGAGAGAAUAAUAGAGGCAAUCAUUACACAAAGAAGAAAAAGAGAGGAUGCACACUUAAACCUUUAAUAUUCUACACUCUACAAUAUUGAAAAGAGAGGAGGAAGAAGAAAGAACACAUAAUAGGAUUCCUUAAUAUUCUAUAAAGACAGAAUUUUGACAUCUUACAAUCUACAAUCUGAAGAAGAGAAGAAGAAGAAGAAGAAGAAGAAGAAGAAGAAGAAGAAGAAGAAGAAUGAAUGAAUGAAUGAAUGAAUGAAUGAAUAUAAAUUAGGUAACACAUUUAAUUUAAA